UUGUUGGAGAGUUUGAUCCUGGCUCAGGACGAACGCUGGCGGCGUGCUUCACACAUGCAAGUCGAACGGAAAGGCCCGCUUGCGGGUACUCGAGUGGCGAACGGGUGAGUAACACGUGGGUAACCUGCCCCCAUCUCUGGGAUAACCGUUGGAAACGGCGGCUAAUACCGGAUACGACCUUGAUCCGCAUGGUUCGAGGUGGAAAGUUUUUGCGGUUGGGGAGGGGCCCGCGGCCUAUCAGCUUGUUGGUGCGGUAGUGGCGCACCAAGGCUUUGACGGGUAGCCGGCCUGAGAGGGCGGUCGGUCACAUUGGGACUGAGAUACGGCCCAGACUCCUACGGGAGGCAGCAGUGGGGAAUUUUGCACAAUGGGCGAAAGCCUGAUGCAGCGACGCCGCGUGAGGGAUGACGGCUUUCGGGUUGUAAACCUCUUUUAUCCACCACGAAGGCUCCGUAUUCGCGGGGUUGACGGUAGUGGUUGAAUAAGCGCCGGCUAACUACGUGCCAGCAGCCGCGGUAAGACGUAGGGCGCGAGCGUUGUCCGGAUUUAUUGGGCGUAAAGGGCUCGUAGGCGGUUGAUUGCGUCCGCCGUGAAAGGCCUCGGCUUAACCGGGGUUUUGCGGUGGAUACGGGUCGACUUGAGGCAAUUAGGGGAGAUCGGAAUUCUACGUGUAGCGGUGAAAUGCGCAGAUAUGUGGAGGAACACCGGUGGCGAAGGCGGAUCUCUGGGAUUGUUCUGACGCUGAGGAGCGAAAGCGUGGGGAGCGAACAGGAUUAGAUACCCUGGUAGUCCAUGCUGUAAACGGUGGGCGCUAGGUGUGGGGUCACGUUGGUUGAUUCUGUGCCGUAGCUAACGCAUUAAGCGCCCCGCCUGGGGAGUACGGCCGCAAGGCUAAAACUCAAA
rnacentral:rRNA from 1 species